rnacentral:tRNA from 1 species
GUGAUUAGCUCAGCUGGGAGAGCACCUCCCUUACAAGGAGGGGGUCGG